GAAAUGCGAUAAGUAAUGUGAAUUGCAGAAUUCAGUGAAUCAUCGAAUCUUUGAACGCACCUUGCGCUCCUUGGUAUUCCUUGGAGCAUGCUGUUUGAGUAUCAUGAAAUCUUCAAAGUAAAUCUUUUGUUAACUCAAUUGGUUUCUACUUUGGUAUUGGAGGUCUUUGCAGCUUCACACCUGCUCCUCUUUGUUCAUUAGCUGGAUCUCAGUGUUAUGCUUGGUUCCACUCGGCGUGAUAAGUUAUCUAUCGCUGAGGACACUGUAAAAGGUGGCCAAGGUAAAUGCAGAUGAACCGCUUCUAAUAGUCCAUUGACUUGGACAAUACUUUUAUGAUCUGAUCUCAAAUCAGGUAGGACUACCCGCUGAACUUAAGC
rnacentral:misc_RNA from 1 species